UCUGCCCGUAUGUCGUGGAUAACGGUUGGAACGCCAGCUAAUCCAGGAUGAGCAUCCCGAAGGCAUCUUUUGGGAUGUAAAAGGGGCUUUGGCCCCGCAUACGGAUGAGCUUGCGGUGCAUUAGCUAGUUGGUGAGGUAACGGCCCACCAAGGCGAUGAUGCAUAGCCGACCUGAGAGGAUGACCGGCCACAUUGGGACUGAGACACGGCCCAAACUCCUACGGGAGGCAGCAGUAGGGAAUUUUCGUCAAUGGGGGGAACCCUGAACGAGCAAUGCCGCGUGAGUGAAGAAGGUCUUCGGAUCGUAAAGCUCUGUUGUAAGAGAAAAACGGACUCCAUAGGGAAUGAUGGAGGAGUGAUGGUAUCUUACCAGAAAGCCACGGCUAACUACGUGCCAGCAGCCGCGGUAAUACGUAGGUGGCGAGCGUUAUCCGGAAUCAUUGGGCGUAAAGGGUGCGUAGGUGGCACGAUAAGUCUGUAGUAAAAGGCAGCGGCUCAACCGCUGUUGGCUAUGGAAACUGUCGAGCUGGAGUGCAGAAGAGGGCGAUGGAAUUCCAUGUGUAGCGGUAAAAUGCGUAGAUAUAUGGAGGAACACCAGUGGCGAAGGCGGCCGCCUGGUCUGCAACUGACACUGAAGCACGAAAGCGUGGGGAGCAAAUAGGAUUAGAUACCCUAGUAGUCCACGCCGUAAACGAUGAGAACUAAGUGUUGGGGAAACUCAGUGCUGCAGUUAACGCAAUAAGUUCUCCGCCUGGGGAGUAUGCACGCAAGUGUGAAACUCAAAGGAAUUGACGGGGGCCCGCACAAGCGGUGGAGUAUGUGGUUUAAUUCGAAGCAACGCGAAGAACCUUACCAGGCCUUGACAUGGAGAUAAAGGCCCUGGAGACAGGGAGAUAGGUAUAUCUCACACAGGUGGUGCAUGGUUGUCGUC
rnacentral:rRNA from 1 species